rnacentral:rRNA from 1 species
GAUGAACGCUGGCGGCGUGCCUAACACAUGCAAGUCGAGCGGCAGCGAGGGGUGCUUGCACCCUGUCGGCGAGCGGCGGACGGCUGAGUAACGCGUGGGAACGUGCCCCAAAGUGAGGAAUAACUGCCCGAAAGGGUAGCUAAUACCGCAUAUUAUCUUCGGAUCAAAGGAUUUAUCCGCUUUGGGAGCGGCUCGCGUCGGAUUAGGUAGUUGGUGAGGUAAUGGCUCACCAAGCCGACGAUCCGUAGCUGGUCUGAGAGGAUGACCAGCCAGACUGGAACUGAGACACGGUCCAGGCUCCUACGGGAGGCAGCAGUGAGGAAUCUUCCACAAUGGGCGAAAGCCUGAUGGAGCAACGCCGCGUGCAGGACGAAGGCCUUCGGGUUGUAAACUGCUUUUAUAAGUGAGGAAUAUGACGGUAACUUAUGAAUAAGAAUCGGCUAACUACGUG